UAGCAAGCAAAAACCUUUGAAUAUUCAAACAGUAUUUAUUUAAUGUCUAACAUUAGUGUAGUUUUCCGUACACAUUGAUGUACUAGACUGGUGUGUGGCUCUGUAUAGUUCUCUUCAGCAAAACACGUUUCUGUAAGAGGUCGUCGGACAGCUGAUUUCUUUGGGGGCUGAAAAUCAAGCCAGCAAAAGUGAACAGACGCUCAACAGGAGCAGAGGAAGGAAGAAUGGUAUUAAAGCGUAUAAAUCGCUUCUUUAUUGAAGGAUAUUGCUCUAAAGAUGCAACAUCCUCCCUUAAGGGUCUUCAAGAAAAUGAAGGACUCCAGCUCAGUUUUGUUGCUUGUUGUCGAGAGAGUACUGGGAAACAUAGUUGCUAUCCAUAAAAACAAAGAAGUCAUCUUCUUCCUCUUGAAGGGGUCUCCCACUAUAAUAUUCUGAUACAAGGCCCAGCUCUUCAGCAGCCUGAAGCAUUAGUUGAUGGAAUCUUCUGGUGUCUCCAGAAAGACAGCGUGGCAGCCAGCGCAUCAUUGUUGAUUUAAAGUUACUCCCAAGACGAACUGAAUGGAAUUGAAAAGCAUCUUCUGAGGGAAACUUUUCAAGACACUAACCUCCUUCCUCAAGAGAUUCUGUGGAGAAGGAAGGAAGCGUUCAGUGACGGUGUCUGUUCAGAUAAGAAGUCUUGGUAUUCUAGUUACAGGAGCACAUUGAAUCUCAGCAGAAGAAUCAGCUGCCUCGUCGGUGCAAGGUAAAUGAUGUCCAAAUUGAAGAGGCAGCAGAGAGAUUUCCAUUCAACGAGCCAAAAACAAAAGGAUAUUUCUACCGGCAGGUGUUUGAAAAGUUUUUCCCUGGCAGAGAGGAGUGGCUGUCUCAUUAUUGGAUGCCCAAAUGGGUCAAUGCCACGGAUCCUUCUGCACACACACUGCCAAUUUACAAACUAGAAAAUUAAGCACAUAAUGAUGGGGUGCUAUAAAUCAUAAUGUAAAGCGCACUGCUUUGUGUGAUGAUUUAUCUUCAUAGAAGGCAGAAAGUAGCCAAUUUAGCUUUAAAUUAUAUUUUCAUAGUUGUUUUUUUUUUCUUGUGAUGUUUGCAGUUUCUGAGUCUUUCUUAUGGCAAUUAUUAAAAUGUAUGUCAGUGUUUUUGGGUGCUUUGGCCAGAAUUCAGAAGCAGUUCUAGAGUUCUAGAUGCCAGCCAUAGAAGUAUGUAAGACAGACUAGCUAGAUCAUGUCUUUAUGUUUGUAACUGCAAGCACUGUCUAACAAGCACCUGCUGUGGAUUUUGCUUCAGUCUGGCCCUAAGCACUAUAAAGACACCAUGAAUCUGAUCUGGCCUUUGUUAGUUGGCAACUAGUCUUUAUCUAUGACAACUAAAGACAGUAUUUAUUUUUACACCAUAAAAAGGUAGGAAACAGCAAAAGAGAUGCUUUUUCUUUAAUGCAGUAGUUAUGUUCAUGAUGAAACAAUAAAACCUGAAUUAC